GUGGGUAGUUUGACUGGGGCGGUCUCCUCCUAAAGAGUAACGGAGGAGCACGAAGGUUGGCUAAUCCUGGUCGGACAUCAGGAGGUUAGUGCAAUGGCAUAAGCCAGCUUGACUGCGAGCGUGACGGCGCGAGCAGGUGCGAAAGCAGGUCAUAGUGAUCCGGUGGUUCUGAAUGGAAGGGCCAUCGCUCAACGGAUAAAAGGUACUCCGGGGAUAACAGGCUGAUACCGCCCAAGAGUUCAUAUCGACGGCGGUGUUUGGCACCUCGAUGUCGGCUCAUCACAUCCUGGGGCUGAAGUAGGUCCCAAGGGUAUGGCUGUUCGCCAUUUAAAGUGGUACGCGAGCUGGGUUUAGAACGUCGUGAGACAGUUCGGUCCCUAUCUGCCGUGGGCGCUGGAGAACUGAGGGGGGCUGCUCCUAGUACGAGAGGACCGGAGUGGACGCAUCACUGGUGUUCGGGUUGUCAUGCCAAUGGCACUGCCCGGUAGCUAAAUGCGGAAGAGAUAAGUGCUGAAAGCAUCUAAGCACGAAACUUGCCCCGAGAUGAGUUCUCCCUGAGACUUAAAGUCUCCUGAAGGAACGUUGAAGACGACGACGUUGAUAGGCC
rnacentral:rRNA from 1 species